UACGAAGGGGGCUAGCGUUGCUCGGAAUCACUGGGCGUAAAGGGCGCGUAGGCGGUUAUAUAAGUUAGAUGUGAAAUCCCCGAGCUUAACUUGGGAACUGCAUCUAAUACUGUAUAGCUAGAGUAGAAUAGAGGGGAGUGGAAUUUCCGGUGUAGCGGUGAAAUGCGUAGAUAUCGGGAGGAACACCAGUGGCGAAGGCGACUACCUGGCCUGUUCUUGACGCUGAGGCGCGAAAGCUAGGGGAGCAAACGGG
rnacentral:rRNA from 1 species